rnacentral:rRNA from 1 species
GACGAACGCUGGCGGCGUGCUUAACACAUGCAAGUCGAACGGAAAGGCCUGGCAUUUGUGGGGUGCUCGAGUGGCGAACGGGUGAGUAUCACGUGAGUAACCUGCCCUUGACUUUGGGGUAACUUCAGGAAACUGGGGCUAAUACCGGAUAGGAGCUCCUGCUGCAUGGUGGGGGUUGGAAAGUUUCGGCGGUUUGGGAUGGACUCGCGGCCUAUCAGCUUGUUGGUGGGGUGGUGGCUUACCAAGGCUUCGACGGGUAGCCGGCCUGAGAGGGUGACCGGGCACAUUGGGACUGAGAAAGCGGCCGUACUGCUUCGGGGGGCAGCAGUGGGGGUUAGUGCACGAUGGGCGGAAGGCGGAUGCAGCAUCGCCGGGUGCUGGAUGUCGGUCUUCGGGGUGUAAACCGCUUGCGCCUGUGACGAUGAGUGAGUGACGGUAAUGGGUAAAGAAGCACCGGCUAACUACGUG